rnacentral:pre_miRNA from 11 species
GAAGGCUCCAACUUCCCUCAAAGGCUUCCAAUAUUCCAGCAGACUACUAUUGGCUUAGAUAUGGUAACGUUGGGAGCCUGCGAGGGAAACUGAAGCCUU